rnacentral:rRNA from 1 species
GAUGAACGCUAGGACAGGCCUAACACAUGCAAGUCGAGGGGCAGCACGGAAGUAGCAAUACGACUGGUGGCGACCGGCGCACGGGUGAGUAACACGUAUGCAACCUGCCUGUAAGAGGGGAAUAACCCGGAGAAAUCCGGACUAAUACCGCAUAAUACUGUGAAACUGCAUGGUUUUACAGUUAAACAUUUAUGGCUUACAGAUGGGCAUGCGUAUGAUUAGCUAGUUGGUGAGGUAACGGCUCACCAAGGCAACGAUCAUUAGGGGUUCUGAGAGGAAGGUCCCCCACACUGGUACUGAGACACGGACCAGACUCCUACGGGAGGCAGCAGUGAGGAAUAUUGGUCAAUGGGCGAGAGCCUGAACCAGCCAAGUCGCGUGAAAGGAAGAAGGUUCUAUGGAUUGUAAACUUCUUUUGUAAGGGAAUAAAAAAGAGUACGUGUACUCUAUUGUAUGUACUUUACGAAUAAGGAUCGGCUAACUCCGUG